GACGAACGCUGGCGGCGUGCUUAACACAUGCAAGUCGAACGGAAAGGCCCUGCUUUUGUGGGGUGCUCGAGUGGCGAACGGGUGAGUAACACGUGAGUAACCUGCCCUUGACUUUGGGAUAACUUCAGGAAACUGGGGCUAAUACCGGAUAGGAGCUCCUGCUGCAUGGUGGGGGUUGGAAAGUUUCGGCGGUUGGGGAUGGACUCGCGGCUUAUCAGCUUGUUGGUGGGGUAGUGGCUUACCAAGGCUUUGACGGGUAGCCGGCCUGAGAGGGUGACCGGCCGCUGUGGGAGGGGGCUACGGCCCACAGGGGUCGGCGAGGCGGCAGUGGGGACAGUGGUAGGAGGGGCGGGGGCCGGAGGCCGCCGGGGGGCGGGGGGGGUGACGGCUUGCGGGUGGUAACCCGCGGCCGCCUGUGACGAAGGGGGGGCGAUGGUAAGGGGAAAAGAAGCACCGGCUAACGACGUGGCAGCAGCCGGGGUAAUAGAUAGACGAGCCCUCCCCUGACC
rnacentral:rRNA from 1 species